GCCUUUAAGACGAGGAUAACUAUUGGAAACGAUAGCUAAUACUGGAUAGGAUAUAUUAUCGCAUGAUGAUAUAUUUAAAGGUUUAAAACACUUAGAGAGGGUCCCGCGUCGCAUUAGUUAGUUGGUGAGGUAAUGGCUCACCAAGGCGACGAUGCGUAGCCGGGCUGAGAGGCUGAACGGCCACAUUGGGACUGAGACACGGCCCAAACUCCUACGGGAGGCAGCAGUAGGGAAUUUUCGGCAAUGGGGGAAACCCUGACCGAGCAAUGCCGCGUGAAUGAUGAAGGUUUUCGGAUUGUAAAGUUCUGUUGUUAGGGAAGAAAUAUACGGAUAGACUCUGUAUUUGACGGUACCUGACUAGAAAGCCCCGGCUAACUACGUGCCAGAAGCCGAGGUAAUACGUAGGGGGCAAGCGUUAUCCGGAAUUAUUGGGCGUAA
rnacentral:rRNA from 1 species